rnacentral:rRNA from 1 species
GAUGAACGCUGGCGGCGUGCUUAACACAUGCAAGUCGAACGGAAAGGCUCCUGCUUGCAGGGGUACUCGAGUGGCGAACGGGUGAGUAACACGUGGGUGACCUGCCCUGCACUUCGGGAUAAGCCUGGGAGGCUGGGUCUAAUACCGGAUAGGACCACAUUUUGGAUGGUGUGGUGGAAAGUUUUUCGGUGUGGGAUGAGCUCGCGGCCUAUCAGCUUGUUGGUGGGGUAAUGGCCUACCAAGGCGUCGACGGGUAGCCGGCCUGAGAGGGUGUACGGCCACAUUGGGACUGAGAUACGGCCCAGACUCCUACGGGAGGCAGCAGUGGGGAAUAUUGCACAAUGGGCGCAAGCCUGAUGCAGCGACGCCGCGUGGGGGAUGACGGCCUUCGGGUUGUAAACUCCUUUCGCUAGGGACGAAGCGCAAGUGACGGUACCUGGAGAAGAAGCACCGGCUAACUACGUG